rnacentral:tRNA from 1 species
UGGGAUGUGGCUCAGUGAGAGAGUGCUUGCCUCACAUGCAUGAAGCUCUGGGUUCAAUCCCCAGCACCACAA